AGAGUUUGAUCCUGGCUCAGAGUGAACGCUGGCGGCAGGCCUAAUACAUGCAAGUCGAACGGCAGCACAGCAGAGCUUGCUCUGUGGGUGGCGAGUGGCGGACGGGUGAGGAAUACGUGGGAAUCUGCCCAGUCGUGGGGAUAACGUAGGGAAACUUACGCUAAUACCGCAUGCGCCCUUCGGGGGAAAGCCGGGGACCUUCGGGCCUGGCGCGAUUGGAUGAGCCCACGUCGGAUUAGCUAGUUGGCGGGGUAAAGGCCCACCAAGGCGACGAUCCGUAGCUGGUCUGAGAGGAUGAUCAGCCACACUGGAACUGAGACACGGUCCAGACUCCUACGGGAGGCAGCAGCAGGGAAUAUUGGACAAUGGGCGCAAGCCUGAUCCAGCCAUGCCGCGUGAGUGAAGAAGGCCCUCGGGUUGUAAAGCUCUUUUGUCCGGAAAGAAAAGCGCCGGGUUAAUACCCUGGUGUCCUGACGGUACCGGAAGAAUAAGCACCGGCUAACUUCGUG
rnacentral:rRNA from 1 species